CCAAGUAAAACGUUAAAAUUAGUUACUCCCGUGAGCUUCUCAGAGUGAGAAAUCCCAUCCUGUGUCAGAAAACUCUCCACAUCAUUCUAUUUCUAUUCUAGCGCACCCAACGGAGCUGAUUUCAUCCAGCCAUCUAUUACCAAAGCUACUUCAACUAUAUAGAGGAAACAAAAGGAAAAUAAAGAAUCCACCUACCUGCAGAAUUAAUCCUAUCAUCCAUGAACACAACUUAACAGUGAGUUUGGUCUGUUGCUGAGAAAUGAUUAAGCUGAAGAUAAAGCAAUUGCUUUAAUAAUGGGUGACCAAAAUGACUAAUUACUUUUUUUUAAUUAAUGUGAAGGGAAAGAAGAUCAAAGAUAGUUACAAAUUGUUAACAAAUUACAGAUCGAACUCUACAGCAAGAGAGGGAAAAAGAGAGAAUUAGAAUUACUACUUCCACAUUCUGUAGUGUGCUUCUCUUCCUCAGGAUGAGGGCAUUUUUAAUUUACUCUGUUUCUUCUUCUUCUUCUUCAAAAGAUCAAGUUUCAACAAGUACUCUCUCUUUCUCCUUAGCUGCAAAUUUCCCAGAUCUGCCAAUCUGCCACAUUAUUUCAAUUUCUUUACCUUCUCUGCAGUAUCUAUCAAAACAAAGAAAGUAAAGUGAUGGCAACAGCAGCAGCAACACUGUAACUAAUAGAACCCAUCAGCUUCACAGACCCAGACAUGGAAGGAGGAGGUGGGCUAUAAUAGUAGAAAGGAAAGUAAGGCACAAUUGGGUUAGGCGGAGGAGGUGCAGGGUAGUUCUUAUAGUUUGGCGGAGGAUAGUAAUAAUAACUGCCGCCGCCUCCGCCGCCACCACCCUGUGGUGGUGGUGGAGAGGAGUAGGAGUAAGUGGAACGUGGUGGUGGUGGUGAUGGAGAGUAGUAGUACGAGCCAGAUGACCUCGGCGGAGAAGGUGGUGGUGGGCAGUUAGAGGUGGAUGCUGGCGGUGGUGGAGAUGGUGGAGGCGGAGACGAGGGUUUGCAACAUGAAGAGCACAUUGUGCAUGCGAUCUCGUACAAUGUUCUUGAUUGUGGAAUGGGCGAGGGAUUGGUGGAAGGUAGAAUCAUGAGAAGCACUGCCAGAAAGAAAAUGAUCAUCUUGAUUCUUUCCAUUCUGCGCACAAUCAACAUGAGACUACAGAUUUCAAGAAAUGCAGUUUAAUCAAGAAGAAGAAAAAAAGAAAAUUUUGGCGGAAUUCUUGAGAGACCUAUAAAUUAAUGAGCAGCUGAGAGAAAGAAGAAGAAGAAGAA
rnacentral:misc_RNA from 1 species